rnacentral:rRNA from 1 species
UACGGCAGCGAAGUGGGUGAUGUCAAGCUUCCAAGAAAAGCCCUAUACCCGUUAAGGCAUGACGGCCUGUACCCGAAACCGACACAGGUGGGGUGGUAGAGAAUACCGAGGGGCGCGAGAUAACUCUCUCUAAGGAACUCGGCAAAAUGGCCCCGUAACUUCGGGAGAAGGGGUGCCACCGCAAGGUGGUCGCAGUGAAGAGGCCCAGGCGACUGUUUACCAAAAACACAGGUCUCCGCUAAGUCGCAAGACGAUGUAUGGGGGCUGACGCCUGCCCAGUGCCGGAAGGUUAAGGAAGCUGGUCAGCGCAAGCGAAGCUGGCGACUGAAGCCCCGGUGAACGGCGGCCGUAACUAUAACGGUCCUAAGGUAGCGAAAUUCCUUGUCGGGUAAGUUCCGACCCGCACGAAAGGCGUAACGAUCUGGGCGCUGUCUCGGAGAGAGGCUCGGCGAAAUAGAAUUGUCUGUGAAGAUGCGGACUACGUGCACCCGGACAGAAAGACCCUAUGAAGCUUUACUGUAGCUUGGUAUUGUGCCCGGGCUCUGAAUGCGCAGGAUAGGUGGGAGGCUUUGAUCCAUUGCUUGUGGGUGAUGGUGAGCCAACGGUGAGAUACCACUCUUUCAGAGCUAGGGUUCUAACAGCCACCCGUUAUCCGGGGGCUGGACAGUAUCAGGUGGGCAGUUUGACUGGGGCGGUCGCCUCCUAAAAGGUAACGGAGGCGCGCAAAGGUUUGCUCAGGCUGUUGGAAAUCAGCCGACGAGUGUAAAAGCAGAAGCAAGCUUGACUGUGAGACCAACAAGUCGAACAGGGACGAAAGUCGGCUUUAGUGAUCCGACGGUUCUGAGUGGAAGGGCCGUCGCUCAAUGGAUAAAAGUUACUCUAGGAUAACAGGCUGAUCUCCCCCAAGAGUUCACAUCGACGGGGAGGUUUGGCACCUCGAUGUCGGCUCAUCGCAACCUGGGGCUGAAGUCGGUCCCAAGGGUUGGGCUGUUCGCCCAUUAAAGCGGUACGCGAGCUGGGUUCAGAACGUCGUGAGACAGUUCGGUCCAUAUCCGGUGCAUGCGUAAGAACAUUGAGAGGAGUUCUCCCUAGUACGAGAGGACCGGGAGGAACGCACCUCUGGUGUACCAGUUAUCGUGCCAGCGGUAAACGCUGGGUAGCCAUGUGCGGAGAGGAUAACCGCUGAAAGCAUCUAAGUGGGAAGCCCACCUCAAGAUGAGUGUUCUCAUGGCUUAAGCCAGUAAGGUCACGGGAAGAACACCCGUUGAUAGGCUCUACGUGGAAGCGCAGCAAUGCGUGAAGCGGAGGAGUACUAAUAGACCGAGGGCUUGAC